rnacentral:rRNA from 1 species
UAGUCAUAUGCUUGUUUCAAAGAUUAAGCCAUGCAUGUCUCAGUGCAAGCCGAAUUAAGGUGAAACCGCGAAAAGCUCAUUAAAUCAGCUAUAAUUUAAUUGAUGGUACAAUCACUGUUACUUGGAUAACUGUGGCAAUUCUAGAGCUAAUACAUGCAAAAUGAGUUCCGACCGCGCUUCCGCGAGGGAGCGCGGAACGAAUGCUUUUAUUAGAACAAAACCAAUCGGAUCUUUCGUCAGCGGCGUCCGGUUGAUUCUCGGCCCGCGCGUCGAAAGUAAUCCGCAAACUCCUGGUGAUUCUGAAUAACUUUAAGCUGAUCGCACGGUCACGCACCGGCGACGCAUCUUUCAAAUGUCUGACUUAUCAACUUUCGAUGGUAGGCUACGCGCCUACCAUGGUGAUAACGGGUGACGGGGAAUCAGGGUUCGAUUCCGGAGAGGGAGCCUGAGAAACGGCUACCACAUCCAAGGAAGGCAGCAGGCGCGCAAAUUACCCACUCCCGGCACGGGGAGGUAGUGACGAAAAAUAACGAUGCAGGACUCUUUCCGAGGCUCUGCAAUCGGAAUGAGCACACUCUAAAUCAUUUAACGAGUAUCCAUUGGAGGGCAAGUCUGGUGCCAGCAGCCGCGGUAAUU